rnacentral:rRNA from 1 species
GACGAACGCUGGCGGCGUGCUUAACACAUGCAAGUCGAACGGAAAGGCCCUGCUUUUGUGGGGUGCUCGAGUGGCGAACGGGUGAGCAACACGUGAGUAACCUGCCCUUGACUUUGGGAUAACUUCAGGAAACUGGGGCUAAUACCGGAUAGGAGCUCCUGCUGCAUGGUGGGGGUUGGAAAGUUUCGGCGGUUGGGGAUGGACUCGCGGCUUAUCAGCUCGUUGGUGGGGUAGUGGCUUACCAAGGCUUUGACGGGUAGCCGGCCUGAGAGGGUGACCGGCCACAUUGGGACUGAGAUACGGCCCAGACUCCUACGGGAGGCAGCAGUGGGGAAUAUUGCACAAUGGGCGGAAGCCUGAUGCAGCAACGCCGCGUGCGGGAUGACGGCCUUCGGGUUGUAAACCGCUUUCGCCUGUGACGAAGCGUGAGUGACGGUAAUGGGUAAAGAAGCACCGGCUAACUACGUG